GAAAUUCCUUAACCAGUAACUGUCAUUGCUGCACACGACACGCAGUGAAAUCCCUUAUCAAUCGCCUAUAUAAGCGUGGAGCGUUGCCUGUCGUUUCAGAACUGCCUUUCAGAGUUACUCGACAGUGUGCAGUGUUGAUACAACUUCAAAAUGCCUGAUCCUUGCUGUAACGAGAAAUGCGUUUGUGCCGAGGGUGUCUGCACGAAGAGCUGCAAGUGCACAAGCUGCAAAUGCUCGUCUGGCUGCGCGUGUCCCUCCAAGGAGGAGUGCGCGACGAGAUGCACGAAGCCAUGCAGCUGUUGCCCAUAGACGUGACUCGACUACUGCCUUCUGCAUGACCAAGCAACGAAAAUAUUUAUUCUUCUAUCUCUCGUAUGUUAUGACUGAAUUAUUGGAAUGUGUCUGAAUAAAUGAAAGAAUGUGAAAA